CCUCGCUGUCUUUCCGCCUAACGCGCGGCGCAGGAGGCGGAGGAGAAGGAAGGGGAGAGUCCGCCCCGUUCCCUCAGCGCGCUUCGUGAGUGGAGGGGUAGGCGGUUGAAGUCGCCUGGUCUCCCGCGUCCCUUUCACAGAAGGAGGAGGAGUAGGCGGCUCUUGCCUUCCUCCUCCCGCCCCCCUCCUGUCGUCGUUUCUUCAGUGACUGACCCAGGAACUGGCGCCCGAUGCCUCGCCAACAUCCCAGGGCGGCGCGCGAGACCGGAGCAGCCCGCGCGCAAGAUUUUGCUUGCCGCAGAAGGACUUGACUGCUUUUGGGAAUCCGAAAGGUAUACAGGUGUUGUGUGCUACAGCU
ensembl:lncRNA